CCCCCCCCCCCUUAUUUCAAACAACAAAAUUAAAUGUAUUGAUACAAAUAUAUAUCUAUGGAUACAAAUAUAUCUGUACAAAUGUAUAUAGAUAGAAUAAUCGUAUAGAUAAAGAAAAAUUAAAAUCCCCGGCUACAAUCCAACCAGGGAAUAGCGGGAGUGUAGACGAUCUGGGACCUAGCUCUCCAAACAAAUUACGCUCCUGAAGCAAAAAGAAAGAGUAAAUCGGUGCUGCCUGUUGUGUGUAUUAUAUGUAAAAAACGUGACAGAUUUGUCACUGUUGGAGAAAAUAGGAAGAAGGGUGUAUUAACACAGACUCAGACCCAAACAGGCUCAGGCCAACUGUUGAAAGCUGCUGAAUUGAAAGAGGAUGAAGAUAUUUUAAGGCAUAUCAGAGGGCAAGAUUGUGUGGCCAUUGAGGUCAGAUAUCACCAAAAAUGUUAUAGGCAAUAUACAUGUACUGAAUUUCUUAGACAGUUAUCAGAAAGCAAAGAUGACUAGCCCUCCGUCGAAUAUUAAACCACAUACAAUAUAUUCUGUGAAGAUGUCAUAAGAGAAAGAAUCAUAAAUGGCCAGCAAAGUUGUCUUGUACAGAGAGAGAGAGAGAGAGAGAAAUGGGGUUUAACGUCCACUCAACACAAACUAGGUCAUUUUGGGACUAACAUACGGUUUCAAUUUUAUUUCAAUAAUUCGCUUGCGCGUAUUGGUCUUUAGCAGUGAGAGGAAACCGGAGUGCCCGGAGGAAACCCACGAGGUUGAGAAGACGCCUCUAUCUCCAUGCCACAUACGCUCACACCUGGGAUCAAAGCCACAGCCACAAGCCAGAGGUGACCGACCAGCUAGAGGUCGAAGCGCGGCACUCUAGGCCAUCCCAACCCCCCUUUCUUGUACAGACCUGUGCAUGUGUAGUCAAUGUGAAAAUGAAAAAAAAACUGUUAAAGAGACCGAAUUUGAUGUUAAUACAUUUAGUGACAGUGAUGAUGAUAAUGAAGAUUAACUUUGAUGACAUUUGAUGUGCAGAGUAACUGUUUAAUUUUGAUUUUCAAUGAUUGUUUCACUUUAAUAAAUAAUUUCACA